UAUCUCUUCUUCCAUCGCUGAUUGCCGGUUCUGUGGCUGAUUCGACGGCGACAUUCCGUGGACACAACUGGUCAGGCGGUCAGCGGGGCGGUGAGGCGUUGAUUACCAUGCCAAAAGACUCAAGCCACCCCGCUGUCCAAUAACCGCCUAGUCCAGCCGGACUUAGCGGAGAUCCCAUGAAAAGCCUAUUGUUAACACCGGCCUUGCUCCGCUUAAAGAGAUGCCACCGCUUUUUAUACAUUUUUAGAGGGGUUAAACUAUUCAUCGAAAUGGAGCCGAGACGGGCGAUUGAUACUGAAUGUUUCUACCCGUGUAAAGCACAGGCGAUUUGUGUAGCUGAUGAACAGUCCCACGACCAACACACACACAAACGUUGCCUCAUCUUCAACAUCACAGACCAACUCAUCAGGAGACUGAGAUAAGACAAUCGGGAUGUGUGAUCACUGCACGCAAACAGGCUCUGGGUCAGCCUUAAGGGUGGAUGGUCAGCCUGAAUUAUUCAUGACAGUCUUAAGAGUCAAUGGGCCGCCGUCGACUUCAACGUCUUAGAACAGGGAAAGAUGAUUACACGAAGAGAGAAAACACAAGCAAAGACAGCAAAGAGGCCCUCGGUUUCACUGCCAAUUUCAAAUUCUUCUAUAUGUCGCCAUUUCUACCGGGCCAGUCGUCCGUGAGUGUACAGUAUUCGUUGUCCUGGUUGAUCUAUAAACCCUUUUUAUGAUAAUUAUAGCUAUCUUGGCAAAUUCCCUUUAAAUUUUAAUUCAGUGUAAAAGGGAAUGUGCGAGCGUGAAUCUAGCCUAUAUACUUAAACAUACACUUAACCAAAAAAGAAGGUCCCCCUAAUUGUUUGUCUAACUCACAAACUACUGAGCACUUC